UACGAAGGGGCUAGCGUUGCUCGGAAUCACUGGGCGUAAAGCGCACGUAGGCGGAUUGUUAAGUCAGGGGUGAAAUCCUGGAGCUCAACUCCAGAACUGCCUUUGAUACUGACGGUCUUGAGUUCGGGAGAGGUGAGUGGAACUGCGAGUGUAGAGGUGAAAUUCGUAGAUAUUCGCAAGAACACCAGUGGCGAAGGCGGCUCACUGGCCCGAUACUGACGCUGAGGUGCGAAAGCGUGGGGAGCAAACAGG
rnacentral:rRNA from 1 species